GUUAAUGACACAAUAGCAAUUUAAUUGAAAAUGGCUCAAAAGAAGAUGCUAGUUUGAACUAGUGUGUACUAGUCUUUGUAAAGUAAUUAGAUAUAUAUAUAUAUAUAUAAUUUGUAUAGCAUUAUUCAACUACUAAGCUUAAGAUUGACUGUAGAGUGGAGAUAAAACUUCACACAAAAUUCAACAGCCAAACAGGAGGGAUGAUACCUCCCCUUCUCCACCAGAGAGAGAGAGAGAGUCCCAAGAUUGUCUCUAUUUGCCUAUUGAUGUGUCUUUCUUGGCAUAGUGUUAUUUCUGAUCAUUCAUUUUCCUAGUGCAUUGGUUUAGAUGAUUUUUAUUAGAGGCAUACACUUGUACUGUGGCUGUAGCCGUUGGAUGAGUUGCUUGGGCUUUAGCGGCUGUGGCUGCAGCUGGUGCUGCAGCUGUGUUUUCUGCUGGUGCUUCAGUUGUGAUUGUUGUGUUUUCAUGACACUUGGACACACACUUGGAUGCAUAGACUUGAUACUCUUAUUAGUUUAUAAAUUUUAUUGGUGGCACUUACUAACAAUUGCAGACACAAAUGAAGGAGCUCGGAGCACAAUCCAGUGCUACAGAUGAGGAGAUCUUCAAACAGGUUCUAGGGCUUGAUCGACCUGGUCGUGUUUGAACAAAUGGAUUGGGUCCUUCUCUGACAAAUGUCUUUGGAGGUGGAUUUAGGCAGUUACAAGAGCAGGCUAAUCUCAUCCAGACACAAGUCCAAGAGCAACUUAACCAACAUAAAGUACAAAUGGAGAUGCAAAUGAAGGAGAUGAUGGAUGCUAUGUUUAGUCAGAUGCAAGGUUCAAAUAUCAGAGGAAGAAGAAGAAGGAGUAGAUAGGACAAACUCAAUGUCGGAGGGACUCUUUUUUGUAGAAACAUUUGAAUGAAUCUUUGUUAGGGUACUAGUCUAUCUCUGGUCUUCCACGAUGAUGGCGGAAAUCGGGCAGUGGUGACAUCACUGAUGCAUUUUGCACUAAUAGAUGGGAAUGUAAUUUUUAAUGCAUCACAAUUUUGUUAUAGAAUUGGGCCCUCUUUAAGAUUUUUGAAAAACAAAGUUCUAGGCUUGUUUCUUAUUUUUGAUUGCACAUUUCUAAAGCAAGGAUUGAAUACACUGUAUAUUUUUAUUUUGAUGAA